rnacentral:rRNA from 1 species
GACGAACGCUGGCGGCGUGCUUAACACAUGCAAGUCGAACGGGCCCGCUCUCUUUUUUGGGGGUGGGUUGAGUGGCGAACGGGUGAGUAUCACGUGAGUAACCUGCCCCCUGCUCCUGGAUAACUGCUUGAAAGGGCGGCUAAUACGGGGUGUGCCGGCUGGUCCGCAUGGGCCUGGUCGGGAUAGUUUCAUCUUCGGGUGUUUCGGUGGGGGAUGGGCUCGCGGCCUGUCAGCUUGUUGGUGGGGUGAUGGCCCACCACGGCGGUGACGGGUAGCCGGCGUGAGAGGGUGGGCGGCCAGGAGGGGACUGAGGCACGGGCCAGACGCCUGCGGGAGGCAGCGGUGGGGGGUAUUGCACAAUGGGCGGAAGCCUGAUGCAGCGACGUCGCGUGAGGGAUGGAGGCCUUCGGGUUGUGAACCUCUUUCUCCGGUGGUGAAGGCCCUGUCCGUUGCGGCGGGGUUGACGGUAGCCGGGUAUGAAGCGCCGGCUAACUACGUG